GCUUUGUAUGGGAGACCCGGUCCUCUUCGAGUGAUAUAAAAGAGCAAAUCUUGAUUGAUAAGAGAUGUGCUUAUCUUACUACAUAAGAAUCUGAGAGAACAAAGAUUUAGAACAUAUAGAGCAAUACAACAGUAUUUGAGGCUUAAUCAUUUCUACUUUGGUAGCUUCUGUUACAUCACAAGCAAAAUGCUAACAGCAGUUCCUUCAAGCACUGUUAAAGAACUUUCAGACCAUUUCUUUUUGCCCAAAUGGGAUAAAAGUCUUAAACCUAGAUGUAACUUCACAGCCUUGGGGAGGAGAAGUUGAAGGCCUGGAAACCAAGGCAAGAUAAGUAGAUGGGUUCCUCAGGCACUUGACUGCAAGGAUACGGGCUUGUGCUACCUGUUGAUGGUUCUUACCGUUGCUCUGAGAAAUGUGGGCUCUUAGGAGGAAGAGCUCUGGACGGAGGGUGAGAGGACUGGCACUGUGAGUCAGGAGCCAAGGCCCCGGGCGUGAGCUCACCAGUGCCUGUGCUUUGGUUAAAUUAGACCCCAAAGUUAUUCACAUUUGACUGCUUUGCUUAGACUUUGUAGCUGAAAAACAGUACUUAGAAGAACAUUUUCACCCCUGCAAUUUUUCCAUCCUCUUCCCUGUCCCUCCCUGUUUUACGUUUUACCAACAAAAUGGAUAAUAAAUGCAUAGUUUUAGCCUCUCAGCGUAAACCCUCCUGCUCAACCCCACCCCCAAUUCCUCACCCCAGUCUGAGUAGGUGUAGCUUGUGUUCAUUUUCCUCUUCUUUUCAGCACUUACUCCCCUUCAGCUGCUCCUAGCAAACCGUCAGAGCUAGCACAUUAAUAGCCACAGGCGCCUGCCAAAGAGAAAUUCUGCAGAGGAUCUAAAACCAAUAACUUGUAACUUUUCCUAAAUCAGGAAAGAUUGGAGUGUAAUAGAUGAAUAAACCGAAUGCAUCCUGAGUGACAUGUGUCUUCUUUCUAGACGGGGAAAUCCUUUACAUUUGUGCAGAGAGCGAUUUAAGAAGAUUCAGAAGCUCUGGCACCAGCACAGUAUCACAGAGGAAAUUGGACAUGCACAGGAAGCAAAUCAGACACUGGUUGGCAUUGACUGGCAACAUUUAUAAUUACUUCACUACCAAAUACAUAAAUUUGGAUUUUUGUAACCCAGUUCGCUUUUCAAGAAAGAGAAUAGGAAAUAGGUUCUACUGAAUUUGGAAAUAAAUUCUUUAUUUAAGCUUUUCUUCCCAGUUUUAUUUUUAUAGUUUCUGGCUCUAGAGACUGAUGAAAAUCAUCUUCUGUCAGCAGAUUUUCUUGCAUCAUUUGCUGUGUACUUCAAACGUAACUUCUUGAAUUUUAGAAUCCAGGAAGGAGCUUCUCUUCCUGGGCUGGACUCAGCCCCUUUGUGGGCAUCUGACUGCAUUUGACUGUUCCCAGUAGUCUGAGCCGUGUCACAUUACUGAACACAGGGAACUCCAGGCCUGAAGCUGAUGCAACAGCAGCAGGAAACAAAGUCUCUGGUCUUUUGGGGUCACACUUCCUGAUCCCUCUCAGUGACUCUCAACGUUGGGCCUGGGUCAGUGUCCCCACAGCUGAUGGGACCCUACCUCUAAGCAAAACAGUGGAUUUCAAAAGUGGCAUUCCCUUGUCUCUACCGGCUGUGAGGGGGUUGGGGGACUCUCAUGCUGGAGGAACCUGUGGGAAGAAGGAGAGAAGGUGGUGUCUUUGUGUGCUGGGUGAUUUUCAGGGCUAUACAAGGUGGGAUUCCCCCGCCCCCCCCCUUUUUUUUUGCAAGACUUUUGGCUUUGAGGAAUAAACUCAUGUUAAAGGGCUUAUUGAAAACUUAAGAGUAUCUUAAUUUUUCAGAUGAUAUAGUCUCUUAUUUCUAAGACUAAGUUGAAAGAGUGUAUACAUCUAGAAUCAAACACUAGCAAAAAAAUGAGAAUUCAGUGUUUUAAAAUUCCCUCACCCCCACCCCUUCCAGCAUUUCCUGGAAUAGAUGAAUUGCUGUUUACCUGCUGGCUCACUUAGUACAUUUCUGGGACACCUGUGCGCCCAGGCUUUUCAUUAUUUUUAAACAUUAUUGUUCUUACUAAGAGGUGCCUUCCUAGAAUGAUAGCCGCUUAGUAAAAUAGUUUAUAACCAUGACAUGCCAUGUACCACUCUUGUGUGAUACACAUGUGCUGAGAGCUUGGGUACAUGGAGAGUGAUGGCAGAUUUGGUGGAAGAAUAAAUACAGAGCCUCUCUGAGGUGAGGCUAAGGGAUAAAUGAAUAAUUAGAGGCUCUUGGAUUUUUUUUAGCCAAUGAAAAUAACCCUUUCACUCAGUUUUCUUUGAACUCUGCAUCUAAAAGUUCCAUCCUGCUCAGCUUUGCACACUCCACGGUACACCCAGGAGGAAGGUUGGAGAUCCAGACUUUCAGCUAAAGUAAGUGGAGAUGUAGAAGCCACACUCAGUGCUUCUCCAGGGUGGUGUGUGAAGAACCCCUUCCUCUGAAAGGAUGACCUUGACCCUUCUUGCCUGGGACUGAGUCACCCAUCUGAGAGGAGGCCCUUCUCACCCAGGAGGAAGAAAAUCUGCUUUAGAACACAGUGCUCACCCCCCUUUUCUGGCCUUCCUUCCAUUCAUAAGAUCUGGUGGUAUGGGCUGUGGAUCGCAUCGUGAUUUUAUUUUAUUUUGGCCUUUGUCACAUCCUCAUUCCUUUAGCUUUUAAGUUUAGCUUCUUUUGGCUUUUCUCCAGUUGUUAACCAAGCUUAAAUUUAGAAUGAUAAGACCAGGUUUCUCCCUGUGUAGUUGAAUUUAUAAACAUGUUCACCAAAUCGUAACAAUACUUCAGCUUUCAGAGCUGAUUUCAUGUAAGCCUGUUGUUAGCAGAGGGUGUCCCUGGGUUCCAUUCUCUGAGAAUGUCAGGGAGUCUGAGAGAAGAUGAAUUUACAUGAGAUAGCAGCAACACAUGUGCCCCUUUAUCUUCUGGUGUGUGUAUCAUUAAUCUAAUUGUCUUCCCUAACUAACGAAUCAUCUUAGUUUUAUGAUUUGUUCCGCAUGUAUUAUGUUUAUAUUAGAAAUGUUUAUAUAACAUGCUUUCCAUAUCAGGGAAAAUCAUAUCUGUUUAAAAAAUUGGCUAUAACUUUAUUAUCUGUGGACAACUUGUAAAAUUUGGAAUGUAGCAUAUGUAAAAAGUUUAAAGAUAUCCAAAUAAAUGCUUUAGGUGUUGACAUUACUUUGCAUCUGCCUACAUUUUCUUCCUGUUUUGUUUCACACAGUUAAAUGCAGUGGAGGUGUUCCACAUGUCACCUUGCUAUAGAUAAAGUGGGACACCUGUAUUAGCUUGAAAUUUAAGAUGCUUAUAUUAUUAGUGUCAGUUAUGGCUGUUGGCCAAACGAUCUUGACCUUCUGAAGGAAGCUUGAUCAUCAUUUCAGCUGAUUAAGUUUCGUAUUCACUGACUGUGACAGCUUGUGACCUUUCUGAACCACUGUGGACCUCAAAUCACUGGGAAAACAGGGCACUCGAAGUCUCUCCCAGCUCCAAGUCAUUUCCUCCAAGAAGGGUUAAACUCUUGCUUAUCCUUACGUAGUGAUCUCCAGGCCCCUGUUCUAACACACUCCCCAGACACCUCCUGCUUAGGAAAGACACAUGUACGAAGGAAGCUACAUCCUAUAUUUGCAAGGGAGUCAUUGCCUAUGAAAGUUCUGCUGUGCUCUUGAAAAUCCUCUUAAAAGGAAAGCAUCAAACUAAAAACACUAGGUUUCUCUGUCUCCUGGUCAUUAAUGCUGCUCCUAGCUAGCUUACUACCUCCCCUGGUCCUAAUGUCAUCAGCUCCAGGACACAUUAAUUCCCUCUGACAUGCUCCUUCCUUGCUUUCUCCCUGCUUCUGUUUUUUGAGUCAGGUUUAUUGAUGUUUAUUUUCCAAAUAGUAAAAUUCACCCUUUCUAGUGGAUGGUUUUAUGCAUUUUGACAAAUGCAUACAGUUGUUUUAACAAGCCACACUCAAGAAUAGAAUAAUCCCAUCACCCAGGAAGUUCUUUCAUGCCCUUUUGUGGGCACCUUCUCCCCGCAUCCUGACCCUUGACAACCACUAAUUUUUUUCUGUCCCUUUGUCUUGCCUCUUCCAGAAUGUUAUAUAAAUAUGUCAUAUAUGUAGAGUUUUGAGUCCGGCUUCUCUCUAAGAAGACAUGCAUUUGAGAGCCGUCCCCGUUCCUUUUGGUUGCUGAAUCGGUUGCUGAAUCGUGUUCAUUGUGCAGAUGUAUACCCACUCACCAGAUUUUCAGAUGAAGUACUGCCUGCUCCAUGGGCAUGCUGUGAUGCUUCAGUGUGUGUAGAGCAUGGUACCUGGUGCACAGCAAGGAUGAAUAGGAAUAUCAGCUGUAGUUGGUUAUUAGUGAGCAUGACUCUGCCUCAAGGAGCUGGUGACUAAUAAAUCAUCAUGAAUAUGCUUGUGUUUGCCUUAAUGUGAAAAGAAGGCCUUCCUCCCCAUCUCACCCCCUCAACAGGCAGUACAGUUCUUCUGAUGUGAUGUGGUAAGUUAGAAGUGGUGCGUCUCAGCUGAGAGCCCAGCUAUGUGUGAAUUUCCAUAGCACUAAAGAUUGACUUAUUUAAGGGAACCUUUCAGUGAAUCUUCUCUGAUGGGCAAAGUUUCCCCACCUAAUGUUUCUGGUUUUGUACAUUUAGGUUUUGGAGUUUGGGUUUCUGCUGUCAGCUCAAAGCAUGAACCCAUGAGUCACUCUCUGUGCCACCUUGGUUUACCCCUCGCUGACAGUGGGCUCUCGUUCAGCACCCAGGACAGCGCCCAGCACUCGUAGGUUUUUGAGAACUAUUUCUUCAGUAAAUGAAUGAAUGAGGGCUUGCUAUAUCCCAAGACCUGCAGCUACAGAGAGGAAUUAAACCUAAUAGAUGAGAUAAGAUGAACCUACAAAUAAUUAGAAUACCAGGUAAAUUGCUACCAGAAUCUCAAGAGAAGCACAAAUCAUUGACUGAACACUUUGAUGUGCCUGUAUCUCCUGUUGCCUCCCAAUAGUUCCAAAGCUAAAUGCUGGCAGCCCCCUAUAACAGAGAUGUUAAAUAACUUUCCGAGUCCUUAGACUCAAAAAGUGGAGACACAGGAUAAACCUCUGAAACAUGCAAAGUGAAAGAAGCCAGACCUAAAAGGUCACAUAUUAUAUGAUUCCUUUUAUCUGAAAUGUCCAGAAUAGAUAAAUCCACAAGGACAGAACACAG